CCGGGCGCACGGGUGAGUAACGCGUAUGCAACUUACCUAUCAGGAGGGGAGAACCGGCGAAAGUCGGACUAAUACCGCAUGAAGCAGGGGCCCCGCAUGGGGAUAUUUGCUAAAGAUUCAUCGCUGAUAGAUAGGCAUGCGUUCCAUUAGGCAGUUGGCGGGGUAACGGCCCACCAAACCGACGAUGGAUAGGGGUUCUGAGAGGAAGGUCCCCCACAUUGGUACUGAGACACGGACCAA
rnacentral:rRNA from 1 species